AGUCAUGGGUUUUAUGAAUUGUUUUUGAAUGCAUGCCUACUUUAAUAUGUUAAUAGUUUGCAUAUGUAUUGACACACCCCGUCCCGAAGAAGGGCAUGCUGGCCGUCACGUGAGAGUGACGUAACCAUUUACACAGUUCGGAAGCUUUAAAAAUACAAUUACUAAGAUAUAACACCCGAGGGUGAAUCAUACUUUUGUGAAUUCUGUCAGAACACCGUUGGAUUCCUCGUGGCCACCAAAGCUCAACUAUUUAGAACCUGGAGAGGCGCAAAACAAAAUUGAGUGGUUCAGUAAAACAAAGUUUUUCGAAAACAUUUCAUUUAAAACAUUUCUAACCCCUCGCUGUAAAACCUGUAUACUUUCCCAGAAAAGUAGUAUAUAAACAUAUAUAUAUAUAUAUAUAUAUAUAUCAUCAAAAGCUCAAAUCACAAUACUUCAACGCUUUUCAGGAAGAAUAUGCCAUGCCAUGUCAUAUGCCAAAAUAUAGUAUGAAUGCAUCAAUAUAAAUCAGGCGAAAUAAUAAAUCAACCGGAGACCCUACAGUGGUCCUGUACGGCUGAUUCUAUAGCUCAAUAUCCCAUCCAGCCGGAGUCACCAACUGUGACCUGUACGGCCUUGCCGGAGUCACCACUGUGACCUGUACGGCACUACACUGCACAUAAGUCGGAACUACCUAUAGUAGUCUGUACGACUAAGAUGGUGAAAUAAUAUGCUCUAGUGCUUCUCUCAUCAAUCAUCUGUGCACAUAAUCUAAGGUCACCUACCAGUCGGAACCCCUCUAAUGGUCUAUACGACUGGCAUGUCGGAACCACCUCUAGUGGUCUGUACGACUAGCAUCUACUUGGAUACAAGAUGAGCGUGUGAUGCAGGGUGAAUAACAUAAGCACUAACACCAAGGGUGCAAGUUAUGAGCUCUCAACAUAAUUCACAUCAUCAUUCAUUCGCAUAAACCAUAUAAACUCACCGGAUACUCACCUGUGCGUCCACAACACCAAUUCACAUAUAUAUAUAAGCAUCAAUAUCAAUUCAUAUAAUUUAUGAUAUGCAUCAUGGCAAUUGAAAACAUACUUUCAUAUAAAUUCGAUUUCUGGGACAAUUAAUAGUAUAUAGGUAAUACGAAAGACAAAAACUGCCCAUCACCUGAAAUUCGCCCAACAACUCCGUAGCACCAUACAUCAAGGCGUCAUGACGAUCGCCGCCUAGAACAAUAAUCAAAUCCAACCUUAGAAAUCAUAUCGAUAGAAUUUAUAACUUAUAUAAGACACGUCACUACGGAGUUUGAUCUGGAAGGCCUGCAAAUCAGAUUUUAAAUCCAUAACUUCCAGAGGUCCACAAUAUACCUCUAGGACAUCAUCCUAAAAUUUCAUUACCAUCCAACGGUCGGAUCUCCGUCAAUUGUCAAAACUAAGUGACGGUUAACAUUCUAUUUUAUGAACUUACAACUCUAAUUCCGAAAGAUCCGUAAAUCGGAUUCCCGAUCCGUAAGUUCCUAAAAUCCUCAAAUAUUACGUAUUACAACGUAUCAAAGUUUGGUGACGAUCCAACGGUCGGAUCGUCAAUUCACAUUUUCACCUAACCACGAAUCGUAACGAACUUAGGUUCAAUUAUUCAAUUUACGUCCAUCAAUUAUCAAAACUGAACCUAGAACCUUAAACACAAGCUAAGAAUGACAUUGGCGG
rnacentral:lncRNA from 1 species